AGAACGAACGUUAGCGGCGCGCUUAACACAUGCAAGUCGCACGAGAAAGGGCUUCGGCCCCGGUACAGUGGCGCACGGGUGAGUAACACGUGGGUAAUCUUCCCUCGAGCGGGGGAUAACGUUUCGAAAGAGACGCUAAUACCGCAUAAGACCACGUCUUCGAAAGAAGAUGCGGUCAAAGCAGGCCUCUAUAUAUAAGCUUGCACUUGAGGAUGAGCCCGCGGCCCAUCAGGUAGUUGGCAGGGUAACGGCCUACCAAGCCUAAGACGGGUAGCUGGUCUGAGAGGAUGAUCAGCCACACUGGAACUGAGACACGGUCCAGACUCCUACGGGAGGCAGCAGUGGGGAAUCUUGCGCAAUGGGCGAAAGCCUGACGCAGCGACGCCGCGUGAGUGAUGAAGGCCUUCGGGUUGUAAGCUCUGUGGGAGAGAAGAAUAAGUCAGGGUGAAUAUCUCUGAUGAUGACGGUA
rnacentral:rRNA from 1 species